rnacentral:misc_RNA from 1 species
AACGAUAGUAUGCUCUGAAGGGGUUUACUGUCGUUUUUUUGAGAGAUAUACCGCGAUACGAAAUGGCACGGUCUUCCAGUUUGGUUCAUCGGGAUAUUUCGAUAAUUACAGCUUCAAAAGAGUAAAAAAUCCAUGUACGUACAAAAUCUUGGUUGCGGAUCUGGAUAUUGUUCAGCUUGGGAACCAAACCUUUUUUAAGCUCUUGAUGUCACCGUAUUUUUGGAAAAACCUUCAAUAAUGGCAACCCACAAGACAGGUGGCCAAAGUGCCCGCAAAAAAGUACAGGUAUCAAUGGUGAUCAGAGAUGAAGUAGAGCGUAAGCACAGAGCAGGAGUAAAUUCGCUGCAAUAUGAUCCAGUUUCGCAUAGAUUGUACUCCGCUGGAAGAGACAGCAUAAUACGCAUAUGGAACUGCAAAAAUAUUAAAGAACCUUAUAUACAAUCAAUGGAACAUCACACAGACUGGGUCAAUGAUAUUGUUUCAUGUUGCGGUGGUAAAAAUUUGAUAUCGGCUAGCUCUGACACAACAGUUAAAGUGUGGAAUGCUCACAAAGGCUUCUGCAUGUCCACUCUGCGCACGCAUAAGGACUAUGUUAAAGCCCUAGCAUAUGCAAAGGACAGAGAACAAGUGGCUAGCGCCGGGUUAGACAGAGCAAUAUUUUUGUGGGAUGUCAAUACAUUGACGGCUUUGACUGCCAGUAAUAACACAGUGACCACUUCAUCCUUGACGGGAAACAAAGACUCCAUUUAUAGUUUAGCGAUGAAUCCACCCGGGACUGUCAUAGUCAGUGGAAGCACUGAAAAAGUUCUUCGUGUCUGGGAUCCACGGUCUUGUGCAAAGCUCAUGAAGCUCAGAGGACACGCAGAUAAUAUCAAAGCUCUGGUUUUAAACAGAGAUGGGACGCAGUGUCUUUCUGCUAGCUCAGAUGGUACUAUAAAAUUGUGGUCCCUUGGCCAACAGUGGUGCAUACAAACGUUCAGAGUUCAUACAGAAGGCGUUUGGGCAUUGCUGGCAACAGAUACUUUCAGCCACGUAAUAUCUGGGGGUAGAGAUAGAAAGGUAAUAAUGACAGAGUUGAGGGCACCUGAAAGAUGCACAGUCAUCUGUGAGGAGAAAGCUCCGAUCCUCAAAAUGGCUAUGACUCCAGAUCAGAAUAGUUUAUGGGUAGCCACUAGCGAGUCGACUAUAAACAACUGGGCAAUUAACCAAAAAGACUGGCAAUGCGGAGACUAUUGCGAGGAUACAACCGGAACUGUAUCUGGACUUAGAAGUAUAGGACCGUAUAAUUCAGAGCCUACCCAGAAAAUAAUUGGAGGUGCAGCGGUACGACACUGUCACGUUCUCAAUGACAGAAGGCAUGUUCUAACUCGAGACACUGAGGAAAAUGUGGCACUUUAUGAUGUGUUGAAAGCUAGCAAAGUCAUUGAUCUUGGGCAGGUGGAUUUUGAUCAGGAAGUGAAGAAAAGAAAUAAGACAGUUUAUGUCCCAAAUUGGUUUAACGUUGACCUGAAGACUGGGAUGUUAACUAUACACUUGGGGCAAGAUGAGAAUGACUGUUUUUCCGCAUGGGUUUCUGCUAAAGAAACCGGCUUGGCAGACAAUGACGCCGUUGACCAGAAAGUAAACUAUGGAAAUCUGCUUCUCCAAGCGCUUCUCGAGCAUUGGUGGAGACCUUUGCAUGCCGACGACGAGAAUGAUGGGAAUAUUAAUGACGGGAACGGACCAACGCAUACCAGAGGAGGUAAUCCCUACUUUUCCGUUCCCGGCCAUACACCUGUCAUCUUUAGUGAAGUCGGCGGUAGAACUUUAUACAGAUUGCUAGUCCGUGAUGCAGCUGGUGAGACAGAAGGAGUACUUCUCAAUGAAACUGUCCCACCAUGGGUUGUCGACAUUGUAGUAGAUAAAAAUCUGCCGAAGUUUAUCAAGAUUCCGUUUUACCUGUUGCCACAUUCGACUUCAGGUGUUAAGAGCUUGAAAAAAGAUCGCCUGAUAGCCAAUGAUUUUAUUCAAGUUCGCAAAGUGGCCGAGCACGUGUACGAUAAGGUAUUAGGUGCUGGUAGUGACUCCGGUUCAGUUGCUGGUGCUGGAAAUACAGUGUCUGGAGGUUCUCCAGCUGGCGACCGUGCAAACGCUGAUUCAAAUACUGACAACUCGUCAUUAGCAGAAGACAAGGUGGAGCUACUUUGCAACGAUCAACUUCUAGACCCUUCUAUGGAUUUGAGAACGGUGAGACAUUUCGUCUGGAAAAACUCUGCGGAUUUGACGUUACAUUAUCGACCAGUCAAAUAGUCGAAAAUCUAGAUGGACGGCCUGACAUACUUGUCGAACUGUAUUUGUCCCAGAGGAGAAUGCACAGCUGAAACGACAGAGUCCUUGUGGUACACGUCAGAUGUUAUUAUUACACCCCUGUGUACCUUAGCGGAAAGUCAGUGCUGGUGUGUCGCUGGGCAAGGUCCAGCUGCCCACCGCAAGCAUGUUGUUGCUCUGCUUUUGAAAACGACACAGAGAGUUGGAGGAGAAGAAAUCAUACUUCCUAGUACAUGUAUCUACUCGAGAACUGCAGUCAUUCCAUACUGGCCCUAUUUCUAAACCCCUCUUGAAGUUCAAGAUUCGGAUUCCAGAGAUCAAAAUACAUAAGGAUA